AUGCGCAGUAACAGCUGCUGAACCCCUCCCUUACCUGGGCUGGAGAGGGCGGAAGCGCCCGCGGGGCAGGCUGGGAGAUGUAGUUCCCGGCUCUCCCCGGAGCAGAAGUGACGUUGAGCGGUGGGGGAGAGAACGAGCCGGGCUGCGAACGCGCGCGGGCCGCUCCGGCUCUGCCUGGCUCGCGCGGGGCCGUUGGAGCCUCUCCCGGGGCCGGAGAAGGGUUUGUACCGUUGGGCUCUGGGCAUGCGCAGAUCGGCCGGGGGGGGGGUCCCGCAUGCGCAGAGGCCGCGUCACCCGCUGCUGCUCCCUGGCGCUGCGGGCCCGGGCGGGUCUGUGCCGGGGGGACCCGUUAACCCCUUCGUGCCCGGCCCGCUGCGGAGCUGCAGCCUCCAGGCUACAGAAUAACGUCCAGGUUUCACUCCAGAUCCACCCGGGGGAAGGAAAUGGCUGCAAUGGAGCUGGCUCAGGUAAGGGAUUAUCAGGGAGCUGGUGAUGGACUCUGCUCGGAGGAAGAGGAGGAGUAAAGGAGAGGGGGAGCAGCUGGAGGUGGUGGGAGGCAGGAAAUGUCUAGGGUAGAGAAGGGGAGGGGACAGGAUGUGACAAACCUGCUGAGACUUGUGUAAUCUAGGGUGUGAUGGGUUAUCACCCCUGGGGUGCAGUCUGGGGGGCUUCUGGGAACUCCUGUGUCCUCUAAUCCUCAAAUUGGGCUGGCCUUUUUCACACUGCUUUGCUGGAGAUUCAGCCAGCCUCUCCAGGUCCUGUUACCACCCAACCCGAGAGCAGGUGGUACCAUGCACCCAGCUAAGCUACCUGAGUGCUUUACCUAAGCCACUGUAGGACAGAGAGAAGACAACAGCCAAUUUCCCAGCUCCCGAACCUUGCACGCCUGCUGUAGUAUAAUCCAGAAUUAUACCAUUUUAUAGUGCACAGGGAUUUGUAUAAUGUAAGAUCAUUAAUAUAGUUCACCUUCCCCUCGAUAUGGGAAAGUUAGGCACAAAAAACUUGUGCUAACCAAGCUGAGAUUUUUCCCCAGACACUUCACUCAAAAUACACUGGUUAAGAUAAAGCAUAAAACAAGUUUAUUAACUACAGAAAGAUCGAUUUUAAGUGAUUAUAAGUGAUAACAAACAGAUCAAAACAGAUUACUUAGUUUGAGUUUUUGGUUAUUUGCUAAGCCUAGCAUACUAGCUGGAUAGAAUUUGAAUUAGCAAUUUCUCACCCUGACUGAUGAUAGAAGCAGUCCACCAAGUUUCCAUACACAAGCUAGAAAUCCCUUUAUCCUGGGACCAGCACUUCCCCCAGUUCAGUCUUUGUUCCUCAGGUGUUUCCAGGAGUUCUCUUCUGUGGGGAAUGAGGCCAAGAGAUGCCGUCACACCCCACCUCAUGUAGCUUUUCCAUAUGGCGGGACCCCUUUGUUUGAAACUGAGUUCUCAGUCCAGUUUGUGGAAAAAUACAGGUACCAAAAUGGAGUUCAGUGUCAUGUGGUCUGAUCAUAUGCCCUAGCAUGCCCUGCUGAGUGCUAAGCUCUUGCAUGGUCCAUUGUCUUUGUUGAUGAGCCAUCAGCACUGUCUGGCUUCUUCAUUGUUGUACCUGAAAGACUAGUUGUGGCUGGUACUAAGAGUAAGCACAUUUGAAAUACAGAUACACAGUGAAUAUCCAUAACUUUCAGAUACAAACAUGAUCCACGCACACAAAUAGGAUAAUCAUAUUCAGCAAAUCAUAACUUUUCCAGUGACAACACACAUGAUGCAUCUUGUACAAAAUGCAUCAUAAUUACGUCCUAAUUAUAUUAUAACCAUACCACUAUGCUGAAUAUGGGGUGUAGUGUCAGAUAGGGCCUAAUUUCAAGGCACAGGAGUUGGGAAUGGAAUUUCCCUUCUUUGUGGAACAGGAAAUAACCCUCCAACAAGGACUGGGAAAACUUCACAGACUCCCAGUGCCGGAGCCUGAAUCUACUGACACUUCAUUAGUUACCCCCACUCCCAAUCUUUGUGGGAACUACAAACUUUAUCAGUGAUGAUUUUGUAUUCUUUUCUAGGUCAUUGAUAAGAAUGUUAAUAGCACAGGGCCAAGAACCAGUUCUUGGAGGAAGCCGCUAGAAAUAAAUCCACUCGACCGUGGUUCCCCAUUUACAAUCCCAGUUUCUAAUCUAUUUCAUGUAUGCCGUGUUUAUUUUGUAUCAUUCUAGUUCUGUAGUCAAAAUGUUGUGCUUGACCAAGUUGUAUGCCUUACAGAAGUCUAGGUAUAUUACAUCAAUACUGUUAGCGGCAACCAAACUUUUCAUCUCCUCCAAUAAGGAUAUCCAGUUAGUUUGAUAGGAAUCUAUUUUCUCUAAAGCUUUAAUGGGUACUAAUUAUAUUACUCUCCUUUAAUUCUUUAUUAAUGAAAUCCAGUAUCGACUGCUCCAUUAUCUUGCCCAGUAUCGAUGUCAGACUGAUACUCUUGUAAUUAGCUGGGGCAUCUCUUUUACACUUUUUAAUACUGGCACACCAUUAGCUUUAUUCCAGUCUUCUGGAAUUUCCCCAGUGUUCCAAGUCCUAAUUAAAAUCAUUAUUAAUAGUCCACCGUGCUCCUCCACCGGGCAUUUUAAAAGUCUUGGAUACAAGUUAUCUGGACCUGCUGAUUUAAACAUGCCUAACUUUAAUAGCUGCUGUUUAAUGUCCUCGUGAAGUCCUGUUGCAAUGGAGUGUCAUCGUCAACAUCUAAUGAUAUGAGUUGCAUCAUCUGUUUUUCUCCAAAUCCAGGAAAGAAAUAUUUAUUAAAGACUUUUACCUUUUCCGAAUUAUUUUUGAUAAUUCUGCCAUUUCUGUAUAGUAAUUUAUAACUACCAUUGUUAGGAUUCAUAUACUUUUUAAAACUUCCUUCUUAUUUUCAUUGAUUGGUCAUUGUUUUCUGAUAGCUUCCCUUACCAAUUUUCUAUAGUUCUAACCUUCUAACUUAUAUUCUUUACUAUUGACUUCCCCUUUCUUCCAUAUAUUUUAUUUGGAGAGUGUUGGGAUUCCUACCAGGGAGCCACCAGCAGGGUCCAGAGACAGCCUCAUCUCCUAUAUCAAGCUCUGGCUAGUAGGUAUGUGAUAAAUGUGAAGACCCUGCCUCCGUCUGUCAGCUGGGAGACACAAGUUUCUCUCUUGCUACCCUCUGAUGCCUCCUGGCUACUCGAAGCAAGGUGGGGUGGGACUCUGUUAACAUGUGCCUCCCAUGGCUUCCAUUUCCCUGGUGUUGCUGUUCCAUGAAUAGUGGGGCUGUGAGUGGGGCACCAGGUAUUGAGUGUUGGACUUUUGCUCUUUCAGGGGCCGGUGACAUUCGAGGAGGUGGCUGUGUAUUUCACUAGGGAAGAGCGGGCUCUGCUGGACCUCAGUCAGAGAGACCUCUACAGGGAUGUCAUGCAGGAGAACUAUGAGACGGUGGUCUUGCUGGGUAAAGAAUCCUGUCCCCUGGGUUAUUAGAAGCUGUUGGGUCUCUAAAGAACCUGAGUAGUAAUAACUUUAUACCUUUAUUCAUCAUACAAGUUUUAACAAGUUUCCUUGUCCCCCCUUUUUUGCCUUAUCUCCCACCCACUAGUAUCAUUUUUGGACAUGUACUUUUUUGGUGCCAUCAGUCAUUUUAAAAUUGCAUUUAAUGUAUCUUUAUUGGAUACAUUAAUAACUGUAGCUUUCAUGCCUUUUCCUCAUUUUAAGAGGAAAAUUUGCCACCUGUAGAAUUCUAAAUUGAGUAAAUAGGUGUGUGACUCAUGCAUGACUUGUGUGACAGUCAGAUGAGCUCCUCUUCUGAUAGGAGAGCGUAUAAUGUUGCCAUUCAGGACCCCACGGGUGAAGGGAGAACAGAGCCGUGGGAGGGGAGGAGAAGGGGUGGAGUAGAUGAUUCUAGGGUGCCCAGAUAUGGGGAGGGUGUGUGCAGGCUAAGAGCUAAGAAGCAGCAGGGAGGAAGGAGGUAGUGAGAGAUGAGGAGGGAACACAAGAAGCUACCAAGGUGCCGGGAGGUGGCGAUGACUGAGAGUAAUGGGAAGAAAGGGAAGGGAGUCUAGAGGAAAGGCACCCAGAAAGUGGGCUGGGUGGGUCAGUGGGAGGGAGAAGAGGUUUGGGGAUCUAGAGCCCUGGAGGAUCCCAGACCUUUAACCCCAAAUUCCUACCCAAGCCUCGUUGCUUUAGAGCCUACACUCCAGUUUUAUUUCUGUUCAGUUCCACUUCAUUAUACAUAUUUUCCUCAAAUGUUAUUUUAACGCUUGCCCUCCCUCUCCCACUCAUUACUUCCCUCCCCAUCUGUAUGCACAGCGACCCCGGCCUCCGAUCCUGAGUCCUUUCAUUCCUCCCUCCCAUAGCAGGACCACUACCCAGACACAAAUGGGCACCUUGUUGAUGAUAUCACAGGGUGGUAGUGCAGCCUGCACAAUUUUUACACCUAUAAGAUUACGUAUUGGGGCACAACUUUCCCUUGUACAUAGCUACUGAAAGUUAAUUGAGAAGAUGAAAUUUGGUGAAACACACAGAAACUUGAUUUAAUACAGACAGUUAUAAUUGAAAUCACAGGUAAGGAUCAGUACACAUAAUGAUUAGACUGAGGUAAGUAUAGUAAAGAGGGACACCA
rnacentral:lncRNA from 1 species